rnacentral:rRNA from 1 species
CCUACGGGAGGCAGCAGUGGGGAAUUUUGGACAAUGGGCGAAAGCCUGAUCCAGCCAUGCCGCGUGCGGGAAGAAGGCCUUCGGGUUGUAAACCGCUUUAGUCCGGGAAAAAGGGGUGCGAGGAUAAUACCCUCGUGCUUUGAUGGUACUGGAAGAAUAAGCACCGGCUAACUACGUGCCAGCAGCCGCGGUAAU